AUGAACGCUAGCUACAGGCUUAACACAUGCAAGUCGAGGGGCAGCAUGGUCUUAGCUUGCUAAGGCCGAUGGCGACCGGCGCACGGGUGAGUAACACGUAUCCAACCUGCCGUCUACUCUUGGACAGCCUUCUGAAAGGAAGAUUAAUACAAGAUGGCAUCAUGAGUCCGCAUGUUCACAUGAUUAAAGGUAUUCCGGUAGACGAUGGGGAUGCGUUCCAUUAGAUAGUAGGCGGGGUAACGGCCCACCUAGUCUUCGAUGGAUAGGGGUUCUGAGAGGAAGGUCCCCCACAUUGGAACUGAGACACGGUCCAAACUCCUACGGGAGGCAGCAGUGAGGAAUAUUGGUCAAUGGGCGAGAGCCUGAACCAGCCAAGUAGCGUGAAGGAUGACUGCCCUAUGGGUUGUAAACUUCUUUUAUAAAGGAAUAAAGUCGGGUAUGCAUACCCGUUUGCAUGUACUUUAUGAAUAAGGAUCGGCUAACUCCGUGCCAGCAGCCGCGGUAAUACGGAGGAUCCGAGCGUUAUCCGGAUUUAUUGGGUUUAAAGGGAGCGUAGAUGGAUGUUUAAGUCAGUUGUGAAAGUUUGCGGCUCAACCGUAAAAUUACAGUUGAUACUGGAUAUCUUGAGUGCAGUUGAGGCAGGCGGAAUUCGUGGUGUAGCGGUGAAAUGCUUAGAUAUCACGAAGAACUCCGAUUGCGAAGGCAGCCUGCUAAGCUGCAACUGACAUUGAGGCUCGAAAGUGUGGGUAUCAAACAGGAUUAGAUACCCUGGUAGUCCACACGGUAAACGAUGAAUACUCGCUGUUUGCGAUAUACGGCAAGCGGCCAAGCGAAAGCGUUAAGUAUUCCACCUGGGGAGUACGCCGGCAACGGUGAAACUCAAAGGAAUUGACGGGGGCCCGCACAAGCGGAGGAACAUGUGGUUUAAUUCGAUGAUACGCGAGGAACCUUACCCGGGCUUAAAUUGCAGAUGAAUUACGGUGAAAGCCGUAAGCCGCAAGGCAUCUGUGAAGGUGCUGCAUGGUUGUCGUCAGCUCGUGCCGUGAGGUGUCGGCUUAAGUGCCAUAACGAGCGCAACCCUUGUUGUCAGUUACUAACAGGUCAUGCUGAGGACUCUGACAAGACUGCCAUCGUAAGAUGUGAGGAAGGUGGGGAUGACGUCAAAUCAGCACGGCCCUUACGUCCGGGGCUACACACGUGUUACAAUGGGGGGUACAGAGGGCCGCUACCACGCGAGUGGAUGCCAAUCCCAAAAACCUCUCUCAGUUCGGACUGGAGUCUGCAACCCGACUCCACGAAGCUGGAUUCGCUAGUAAUCGCGCAUCAGCCACGGCGCGGUGAAUACGUUCCCGGGCCUUGUACACACCGCCCGUCAAGCCAUGGGAGCCGGGGGUACCUGAAGUGCGUAACCGCGAGGAGCGCCCUAGGGUAAAACUGGUGACUGGGGCU
rnacentral:rRNA from 1 species